rnacentral:misc_RNA from 1 species
GAUGAAGUACGUAGCGAAAUGCGAUACGUAGUGUGAAUUGCAGAAUUCAGUGAAUCAUCGAAUCUUUGAACGCACAUUGCGCCCUUUGGUAUUCCAAAGGGCAUGCCUGUUCGAGCGUCAUUUGUACCCUCAAGCUUUGCUUGGUGUUGGGCGUCUUGUCUCCAGUCCGCUGGAGACUCGCCUUAAAGUCAUUGGCAGCCGGCCUACUGGUUUCGGAGCGCAGCACAAGUCGCACUCUUUUCCAGCCAAGGUCAGUGUCCAACAAGCCUUUUUUCAACUUUUGACCUCGGAUCAGGUAGGGAUACCCGCUGAACUUAAGCAUAUCAAUAAGCGGAGGA